rnacentral:lncRNA from 1 species
AGUUUACAAAAGCAAAAAAAAAGAGUUACAAAAGCGAGAAAAGCAGGUGAGAAUGGCGAAUAUAACUUAAUAAAAUAUGUCAGAUGUCAUCACCACACUAGAUAGGAAGCCACAUUUUGGCAUCUCAACCAGGCAAUUAUUUAAUACAAUUAAGACACACUGGCAAGCGCAUCUAAUAAGAAGAGUAUCCGCUGAAUGUUGUGUUUAAGGACGUGAGCAAUGAUGCGUCCGAUUAUCAAUGAGGGGCCAAAAUUUGCUGCGGUAUACCCCCCCCCCCCCAACAUUUAGAAAAUUGCACUAUUCGGAAACGUUACAUGCCUAUUCGCCAAC